UUUUACUGCUACUUGUGUUCC
rnacentral:miRNA from 1 species